CAUUACCGAGUUCAUGCCCUUCUGGGUAGAUCUCCCACCCUAUGUUUAUCAUACCUUUGUUGCUUUGGCGGGCCGCCUAGCUACUGGCUUCGGCUGGUAAGUGCCCGCCAGAGGACCCCAAACCCUGAAUUAUUAGUGUCGUCUGAGUAAAAAAAAGUUAAUAUUUAAAACUUUCAACAACGGAUCUCUUGGCUCUGGCAUCGAUGAAGAACGCAGCGAAAUGCGAUAAGUAAUGUGAAUUGCAGAAUUCAGUGAAUCAUCGAAUCUUUGAACGCACAUUGCGCCCCUUGGUAUUCCGAGGGGCAUGCCUAUUCGAGCGUCAUUAUCACCCCUCAAGCCUAGCUUGGUGUUGAGGCCUGCUGUAAAGGCAGCCUCUAAAAUCAGUGGCAGUGCUGUCAGGCUCUAAGCGUAGUAAAUUCGUCGCUAUAGAUUCCUGGUGGAUACUCGCCAAAACCCCCCCAUUUUUUAAUGAUUGACCUCGGAUUAGGUAGGGAUACCCGCUGAACUUAAGCAUAUC
rnacentral:rRNA from 1 species